GAUGAAGAACGUAGCGAAAUGCGAUAAGUAAUGUGAAUUGCAGAAUUCAGUGAAUCAUCGAGACUUUGAACGCACAUUGCGCCCCCUGGUAUUCCGGGGGGCAUGCCUGUCCGAGCGUCAUUGCCGCCCUCAAGCACGGCUUGUGUGUUGGGCCCCCGCCCCCCGGCUUCGGGGGGCGGGCCCGAAAGGCAGCGGCGGCACCGCGUCCGGUCCUCGAGCGUAUGGGGCUUCGUCACCCGCUCUGUAGGCCCGGCCGGCGCCCGCCGGCGACCCCAAUCAAUCUUUCCAGGUUGACCUCGGAUCAGGUAGGGAUACCCGCUGAACUUAAGCAUAUCAAUAAGCGGAGGA
rnacentral:misc_RNA from 1 species